ACCCAGGUGCCGUACAGGAAGGAGGGAGUGGAAGGGAGGCGAGCGUGCUGAGACAAAAUGCCAUCCUCAUUACAAUAAAAGCAUUUCGAAGACGUUCUAUUUGGAGGUUUUCUUUGAAUAGAGGCCCCAGCCCUGCUGCAGGUGGGCGCGGAGCGACCGACACAGGCAGAGAUCAGGGAAGCCGAGGGGGGCGCUUCAGGCCUGUGGAGGAGCAGAGGCCCUGACAACAAGCAGCCUCGUCACAGAGAAAAGGGCUCAAAGUCUAGCGCUUCGUAAUUGGAAGUUUAUCCAAACACCAAGACUCCCCAUUCUCUCCCUCCCUCUCUUUCGCGCUACAUCUAUCUAUCUCUCUCUCCCCCUCCCUCCUAUUAUCACUCUCUCUAUCUCUCUAUGCAGGUGCAGUUCUGGUUCAGCAGCCUUGCGGUUCUCCACAAACACAUCUCCGUCCCAGCAUAUGGAUCACCAGCAUUACCAGCUGGUCUCUUGGUUUUCUGGUCUAGUGACUUUUCGCACUGUCAACACACACACACACCAUGGAGACCAUGUGCCAAUCCUAGUGUCAAAAAGUGCUCUCUGCAGUUCCAAAAGAAUCGCUUGAGGGUUUAGGGGUGGUUAUAGGUGCCAGUCAGUGGGCGUCUGUUACGUAAGCCCUCUGUGACAAAGGUCUGUACAGAAAAUACUUGAUUUGAUCACAAGAAUACAUGACCAGUAUGCCAGCGCUCCAGUCACAUGCAUUAAAUAUGUGAAACAACUCUUCCUGCAUUCCCAGCUUUUAUUCAGCCCAGUGGAGCGUUUUAGUUUAAGUGUAACAAUGGAGAGAUAACAGGGAGACAGCUCCGAGGUAAUCCUGAGAGAUGGCGAGCAUGGAAGCCUGCAUCGUUCUCAGAGCUACUCAGCACUUUGUCUUCUAAGACACUGGCACUUAAGGCACGGGAGAAUCCGCUUUCUAAUACUAAGCUGUGUCUGUGUGUAAGCAUGUGAGUGUGUCUCUGUGUGUGUGUGUGUCUGUGUGACCACGCUGCGUGUGUCGUGUGCGAGCGAGGAGAAGCAUAUCCAAUCCGUGUAUGGUCGGGGGAUUUGUACAUCACAAAGCUGACAUUGAACUAAUACCAUUUCAAUUAAAUCAGUCCUUCAAAUGGGAUGAGUCUCUCUGUCUCUUCCCGGCACUUGGCACCAUGUUCUUCUUCACACUGACAUGCUAAGUGAUGGACAGCGUACAUUAUGGUGGCUUCCAGUACAGUAUCUGUCAUCAGAGCCGCAGAUAACCUCAGUAUAAACCCCAACUAACAUGCAAGUAGACUGUAUCAUUGUUUUGGGGUGUGGACUCUCUUUAGUGUCCACUUUUUGUCCCACAGCCAUUUCUUCUGGGACCUCCUGAGCAGACGUCCAAAACGAGACCUAAACAAGCACUUUACUGGAGACCUCCACGGGCUUUCAUUUUUGUGGAGUUUCAGCACAAAAGCUGAUAAAUGAGGACGUUUUAUGCAAUUUGUAUGUUGCGUCCUAAGUGUUCUUCCGUGUGAAGAGAAAUUACAGAAGUUGUGACAGCAGGCAAAACUGCAGACUCUGUAGUUUGGCUGAGACAAAGUGAGCUGGCUGGCGUGACCCAGAUGCGAGUUUCAAAUAACACCUCCCAGUAAGUCAAUGUUAUUGAAUGGCCACAGAUUGAUCCACUGUGUCCUACCCAGACCAGAACAGAUGAUGCCAGAGCAAGGACAUCCUAACUACAAAGUCUGAAGAUGACAAUGUGAUUCUCCCAUCGCCACGCAGGUGGAAUUUUAAUGAAUGAUUUGUAGAAAAAUCCAGAAAAUGGCAUGUUGUGGAUUCUGCGGUGAGGCUAGAAGGCAGAAUAGGGCAGGUUGUC